AUGGCGGCAGCGGCAGCCGUCGUCGGGGGCAUGGUCGCCUCGGGCGUCAUCAAGGUGGUGAUAAAACAGAUCGGAUCCGCCAUCGGCGGCAAGAUCAAGCUGCACAAGAACCUGAAGAAAGAUCUGCAGAAGAUGAAGAUGACGCUGGAGUCGGUGGAGGCCGCGCUCAGCGACGCCGAGAGGCGCUCCAUCAACGACAGCUCGGCGCUGCUGUGGGUGAACCGGCUCAAGGCCGCCAUGUAUGACAUCUCCGACAUGCUCGACGAUUUCGAAUCUGACACACAGUCCCGGGUCGGAGCUAUGAGGAAGAAGAUCAGUAUGCCGGACAAGAUGAAAAAGAUGCAAAAGCGUCUACAGAAGAUAACAGAAGACCAUCAGAACUAUCGUCUUCUGCCAGAAACUCGCAGCAAUGAGCCACAACUUCCUGAUAUCCGGGAAAAUGCAGGGACUAUGGUGGAAGCAGAAAUCAUCGGGAGGGCCGAGGAAAAACUGGAAAUCUUGGCUCGAUUAUCUGGGAGCACCACUGAACAUACCACCUUUGUUCCCAUAUGGGGCUUGGGAGGAAUUGGAAAGUCCACCUUGGCAAGAUUGGUUUACAAUCAUCCUGAGUUUGAAAAACACUCUCGGGUAUGGGUCUAUGUUUCCCAGAUAUUUGACUUGAAAAAAAUUGGCAACACUAUAAUAUCACAACUAUCAAGACAACAGAGCCAGCAGAUACUUGAUCUGCACAGUAUUAACAUUCGCCUUCAAGAGCUACUUGCUGAGAAGAAGAAUGCUUUGAUCAUUCUGGAUGACCUGUGGGAGAAGCGUCCUUCUCAACUAGAAGAAUUAAAGUCUAUGCUGAAGCAGAGUAAGGGGUGCAAGGUGAUGGUUGUAGUUACCACACGUGAUGAAGGGAUUGCAAAUGAAAUCUCCACUGUGCAGCCUUACAAAUUACCUCAAUUGUCAGAUGAGAUGUGCUGGGAAAUAAUGAGCCAAAAGAGUAAAUUCGAAACAAGGGACGACAAAGAACGGUUGGAGCCGAUUGGAAGGGAUAUUGCAAAAAAGUGCAAAGGCGUAGCUUUAGCUGCUCAAUCACUUGGACACAUUUUGAGGUCCAAGUCGUAUGGAGAAUGGAAUUCGGUCAGAACCAAUCAUAUCUGGAAUCUAUCUACUUCUACAGAUGCAUCAUCUAGUCAUGAAGUGCUUGGAUCCUUGUUGUUAAGCUACAACUUGAUGCCUCCAUAUUUAAAGUCGUGCUUUGCUUAUUGUGCAAUCUUUCCAAAGGGCCACAUAAUGAUUAAAGAUGAGUUAAUUCAUCAAUGGAUUGCUCUUGGAUUCAUGGAGCCAUCUAGUAUAUUCUCUUAUUGGCAACUCGGUGAGAGUUACAUUAUGCAGCUUCUGGAGAUGUCAUUUCUUCAACAUUCAAAGGCUAUUGUUGAAUGGUACGACAUAGACAAUAUUGUCACACUGUUCACAAUGCAUGACCUCGUGUAUGACCUCGCAAGGUCAGUCAUGGCUGACGAAUUUAAUUUGGCGGGCCCCAACUGCCGCUAUGCAUGGAACAUAGAUUCCGCGAAGCCACUAAAGUCAUCGACGACUUCACCUGAAAAGAUAAGGACGCUAAAUAUUGUGGGCGAUGAAACCUCAUGGCCGUCAUGGUACAAGUUCCAUCGUGAUGCAAUUGCACCAGCAAAGUACGUUCGCGUCUUGCAUUCAUCAGUCAGUUCAAAUAGAUUGGUUGCUUCUAUUGGUCAACUGAAGCAGUUGAGGUAUCUUAGUGCUCCAAAUAUCCGUGGUCGAGUGGAUCUCGGGUGUAUCGGUAUGCUUCAAAAAUUGAAUUAUCUCAACCUUCAUAAUUGUCAGGAAUUGUCAGCAUUGCCAGAGUCAAUUAGUGAAAUGGAAGGUCUGAUGUAUCUUAACUUAUCAGAUUGUGAAAAUCUGAAAGAACUCCCAAAUUCGUUUGCGAAUCUCAAAGAGUUGGUAUAUCUGAACUUAUCAAACAGUGAUAAUGUUAUAGGAUUACCCGAAGCUUUGGCUAACCUUACCAAACUCCAACAAUUAGAAUUAACAGCAUGUGAAAAUCUCAGAGGGCGUCCAGAAGUCAUCACCAAUCUCACCGAACUCCGCAAUCUGAGGCUAUCAAGGUGCAUGCAUCAUAUAUUUGACAGCUCAUCAACAGUUCAAACCGAGAGUUUCAUUGACAGUAUCUGUAGGCUUCCCAAUAUGGAGCACCUGGACCUGUCUUUUAAUGGCCAUCCUCUUAUUAGUAUACCAGAAAGUGCUAGCUGCCUCCGGAAGCUGGUACUUCACGGGUGCCGCCAAGUUGCCAGGCUUCCAGAAUGUGUGGCUAAAAUGGACCGUCAAAGCCUUUUUGGCUUGUUGCCACUAUUUUCUGUAACUACCGAUGAUGGUAAAUGUUACAGCAACCUUGGCUUUCUUGAGCAUGUAAAUCCUCACAAGCUGAACAUCAAGAAACUUGAAAAUGUGAAGUCCCCAGAAGAGGCACGGAGUGUAAGACUGAUUGAAAAACAUAGGAUUGAAGAAAUGUCAUUAAUGUGGAACCCACAAGCUGAGAGAUCUGUGGAUGACAUGGAGUUGCUGAGGGAGCUAGUGCCACCAACCACUUUGCAAAAGUUUGAGAUAUAUGGUUAUAUUAGUGCCAGCUUUCCAGACUGGGUAAUGAGUAUUGGCAAUUAUCUCCCUAAUCUUGACCGAAUGGUGAUGUAUGGUUUGCCCAACUGCAAAAGCCUUCCACCUCUCGCCCAACUACCACCAAACCUCCGGGUGCUUACUCUGGAAGAAAUGGAAAGCCUGGAAGAAUGGAACACAACAUACUGUAGCGGUGAGGAUGGUGUGAAUGAGCUCAUGUUCUGUAAGCUUGAGCAAGUGAACAUACAUUUUUGCCCCAAGUUGAGGAUAACACCACACCUUCCUAGAGCUGCAUCUUGGAGUAUACGCGGAAGUGAUAAUGUGCUCAUAUCAUGGGCAGGGAGUGUGUCACACAAUGAUGCUUCCUCAUCUUUUUCAGGAGUAUCUACUACUCUGAUAGUUGGAAGAAGCAAGGUGCCUCUGCACCAGUGGAGAUUGCUUCACCAUAUACCUGCCCUCAUUGCUUUGCACAGCUAUAAUUGCUGGGAUUUGACAAGCUCGCCAGAGAUCACCUUUGCCCAUUCAAAACUGUCGGAAUGGGUAGGAGAGUUGGCAUCUGUUCAGCAACUGACGAUAAACCAAUGCAUGACGCUAGAGGAAUUGCCCGGUAACAUGAGGCAACUCAAACAGCUGCAAUCAUUAAAACUAAAUAUCUGUUGUAGCUUGAGACAGCUGCCGCUGUGGUUAGGAGAACUUACCUCUCUCAAGAAACUUAUAAUUUGUAGCUGUUUUGCUAUCACGAUCUGCCAGACAGCAUACAACAGCUCACAAACCUCCAAGAAUUAA
rnacentral:rRNA from 1 species